rnacentral:rRNA from 1 species
CCCUCUAAUCAAUAAUUUUGGCUUGUCCAU